AGCGACUUAGCUCAGUUGGAAGAGCACUAUGCUCAUAUCGUAGGGGUCGACAGUUCGAACCUGUCAGUCGCUA
rnacentral:tRNA from 1 species